rnacentral:lncRNA from 1 species
AACAAACCCACCUCCAAGAGUCUUCUCCCAGACUCCAGCCUUGAGGAUGAGGACUCCAGCCACAGCCUCCUCAAGAAGUUUGAAGUCUGCAUUGAACUCAUUAAUUUCCAGCUUUUGGCCGGGCGUGGUGGCUCAUGACUAUAAUUCCAGCACUUUAGGAGGCCAAGGUGGGCGGAUCACCUGAGGUCAGGAGUUUGUGACCAGCCUCACCUACAUGAUGGGGCCCAUGAGUGAGGAGGACAAGAGAGAAAGGAGAAGUUUGGGUGUAAAUCCCAGAGAUUGUUCAUCAUGUGAGAGGAGCCGUGCAUGCAUUUCAUGCCAUACUCACACCAUGGAUGGAGAAAAAAAAUCAAGCUUCACUUUCUGAGAAUGGCCCUGGGGGCACUGCAUCUAGUGCCUGUGCAUCUGCAGACCUGCCGGAUGCCUCCAGGGGAAUCAUGCCACCCCAAGCAAGAAAGGGCCCAGUUGCCAGGAGCCUGGAGGCAGAGAGCUGAGGAGCCAGCCCCUGACAUCAGAAUGGAGCUCAAAGGUUGGCUGGGUGUGACUCUGCCGUGGACAGCUUCUCUUGGGAAAUCUACUUUAAUGAAUCCAGGGGACCAAUUUGUAAUCAGCCCAUCAGAUGUUCAGCGACACUUAGCUGGAAUCUCGUUGCUGGACUCUGUGCCCCGCAGUGGAUGACAGUUCUCCAUCAGGGUCUGCAGUCCUCUACCCUGGACUUGCUGCAUCCUGGAGCCCCCAGCAGUCAGGUACCGGCUCUCAGAACUGCCUGCAUCCCAUUGGCCUGAGCUGCUGUCUGCCAGGGCUGCUGGUAACCAGGCCCACAGGGUUGGAUAUUCCCCCAACAGGGCAGCUCCCAGUCCAAGCCCAACUGUUACCAGCCCAGAAAGAUGUUUCAGGAUACCCCUUUCCUCCCCACUUCCCUGCCCUCUGCAGCUCCAGCUGGUGCACCCCAUCUUUCUCUCCCCCUCCCUGCUAGGCUGGGCCCUAACAGGAGACCUUUGAGGUGGUUGGGCUUGUUCUGCAACCUUGAGUACCCUUGAGCUACUGCCUCACUCCUCAGUUUUCUUCUUCUUAAGGUUUCUAAUUGGACUUUGCCAGUGUAUUUAUUUCAAAACUGGUCAUCUUACUGACCUCGCUCAUAGUCUCUUAUUACUUUUCUAGUUGAUUCUCUUGAGUUUUCUGGAUAAACAAUAAUAUCAUGUACAAAUAAUGAUGACAAUU